ensembl:lncRNA
UCAGUAAUGCUAACGUCACCUUUAAAUAAAUAAAUAAAUAAGAUAAUCAGUAAUGCUAACGUCACCUUUAAAUAAAUAAAUAAGAUAAUCAGUAAUGCUAACGUCACCUUUAAAUAAAUAAAUAAGAUAAUCAGUAAUGCUAACGUCACCUUUAAAUAAAUAAGAUAAUCAGUAAUGCUAACGUCACCUUUAAAUAAAUAAAUAAGAUAAUCAGUAAUGCUAACAUCACCUUUAAAUAAAUAAAUAAGAUAAUCAGUAAUGCUAACGUCACCUUUAAAUAAAUAAAUAAGAUAAUCAGUAAUGCUAACGUCACCUUUAAAUAAAUAAAUAAAUAAGAUAAUCAGUAAUGCUAACGUCACCUUUUAAAAAAUAAGAUAAUCAGUAAUGCUAACGUCACCUUUAAAUAAAUAAAUAAGAUAAUCAGUAAUGCUAACGUCACCUUUAAAUAAAUAAAUAAGAUAAUCAGUAAUGCUACCGUCACCUUUAAAUAAAUAAAUAAGAUAAUCAGUAAUGCUAACGUCACCUUUAAAUAAAUAAAUAAGAUAAUCAGUAAUGCUAACGUCACCUUAAAAAAAAAAGAUAAUCAGUAAUGCUACAGUCACCUUUAAAAAAAAAUAAGAUAAUCAGUAAUGCUAACGUCACCUUUAAAAAAAAAGAUAAUCAGUAAUGCUAACGUCACCUUUAAAUAAAUAAAUAAGAUAAUCAGUAAUGCUAACGUCACCUUUAAAUAAAUAAAUAAGAUAAUCAGUAAUGCUAACGUCACCUUUAAAAAAAAAAAGAUAAUCAGUAAUGCUAACGUCACCUUUAAAAAAAUAAAUAAGAUAAUCAGUAAUGCUAACGUCACCUUUAAAUAAAUAAAUAAGAUAAUCAGUAAUGCUACCGUCACCUUUAAAUAAAUAAAUAAGAUCAUCAGUAAUGCUAACGUCACCUUUAAAUAAAUAAGAUAAUCAGUAAUGCUACCGUCACCUUUAAAUAAAUAAGAUAAUCAGUAAUGCUACCGUCACCUUUAAAUAAAUAAAUAAGAUAAUCAGUAAUGCUAACGUCACCUUUAAAAAAAAUAAGAUAAUCAGUAAUGCUAACGUCACCUUUAAAUAAAUAAAUAAGAUAAUCAGUAAUGCUACCGUCACCUUUAAAUAAAUAAAUAAGAUCAUCAGUAAUGCUAACGUCACCUUUAAAAAAAUAAGAUAAUGGAGUGUUUGUGUGAAAUGCCCCUGAUUCAAAAGUCCAUGUAAGUUUCACCUCUAUUCCACAAGGUAUUUCUGUUACACAAUAUAAAGACCUUGCUCACAGACGGGCAAACAAACAAACAGGGGAAAGAUGAAAGAUUCAGUCAUGAAAGUCAAUAGGGCCUGCUUUGUGUGAAGGUGCACACGGAGGAUUGAUUUGUCUGCACGGGGAAUAGAAAAGGGUAAUGAAUGAAUAGGCAGGGUGAGGGAAUAGAGGGGGGAGGGAAUAGAGGGGGAGAUAGAAAUUCAUAGGCAGAAAUGAUGGUAGGAUGAGGGGAGAAAUGAAUAGGAGGGAGGGAAGGUAGGAUGAGGGGAGAAAUGAAUAGGAGGGAGGGAAGGUAGGAUGAGGGGAGAAAUGAAUAGGAGAGAGGGAAGGUAGGAUGAGGGGAGAAAUGAAUGGGAGGGAGGGGAAGGUAGGAUGAGGGGAGAAAUGAAUAGGAGGGAGGGAAGGUAGGAUGAGGGGAGAAAUGAAUAGGAGGGAGGGAAGGUAGGAUGGAGAAAUGAAUAGGUGGGAGGAAGGUAGGAU